CUUACCUCUCCUUAAGAAAAAUGAAAAACUCAUAGCCUGCUGCUCAGAAAUUCUUUGCAAUUCAUAGACAAAGAACCCUAUGCAAAAGCAAAUUCUGGUUGCUCGAUUAAUUGCAACAAUCUCCUCCAUUACAUUCCUGUAAUGUACUCCACUUUCUAGAGUAGGGACAUUGAACUGUUUUCCUUUCAGGACAAUAAGGACAGGGAUACCUCUCAGGAAUGUUGUGAGAAUUAGUUAACGUUUGCAAGGAGCCUUGAAGACAAAAUGUUGGAUGCACACCGCUUUCUGCUGCUACAAAACCUUCAAAACAUAAUAUGACAAAGUUUUGUAUCCAGACAUUUCAUUACUAAAACUUCAGAACAAAGGACUUCCAAAGGCAAUCUGCUAUUGCUAAUAUAACGACAUUACCAAAAGAUCGAGAGGAUAUUUUACCUAUAGUAAGUUUCUGAAUUCCUGCAGAAGAAUGCAAACUGUUCUUUGAGAUAAAAAGGCACAGAAGAACCAAGUCUGGAUAUGUCACUACGGCACAACACUUGGGCAGAUCUCUGUUGAAGUAAAUGUCACUAUGCCUGAAGUAAGAGGCUAUAGAGAGGCAUAAAGGUAUAAACAUCAGAUCUAGAGAGAUCAAGGACAAGAAUUUGCCUGAGGAGCAAACCUUUUUCUUUAGGGUAAGAAGGGAGCUUUAACUCUGAGAUACUCAGAAAGGGACAAUUUAAUGACUUGUUUUCAGAGGCUGUGGUCAGCACAAGGACUAAUUAGAAAGUGCUACUUGAAGAAUGAAGUAAAGGAUUAAGUACACCAAAACACUUUUAAAAACUUGGCCUAAGUGCAGAGCACUAGAGAGCCAUGUGACUUUUCUUGUAGUUGGCAGCACUUCAGCAGUCUUCUCCUGGACCAUACAGCUUUUAAAGGUGAUCCCAGGACCUCU